UACGGUAGGGCGCAAGCGUUGUCCGGAAUUAUUGGGCGUAAAGAGCUCGUAGGCGGUCCGUCACGUCUGCCGUGAAAACCCGAGGCUUAACCUCGGGCCUGCGGUGGAUACGGGCGAACUAGAGUGUGGUAGGGGAGACUGGAAUUCCUGGUGUAGCGGUGAAAUGCGCAGAUAUCAGGAGGAACACCGAUGGCGAAGGCAGGUCUCUGGGCCACUACUGACGCUGAGAAGCGAAAGCAUGGGGAGCGAACAGG
rnacentral:rRNA from 1 species